UCAGUUUGUUGUCUAUGCUGCCGCUAGUAAGUGGUUUUCUAAAAAAGUAAAUUUGUCUAUUGAUUCGUCGUUCGUUGCCCCACCGACGAGUGUGAUUUUUCAUGAAAUUAAUAGUUAAUUUAUGUUAAACUGAGUGAAAUUCCUACUAAUUUUAAUGUACAUUAUAGAAGACACUUCAAUAUAAAUUAUUCUUAUAGAAUAAUAAAUAUUUGAACGAUCUGAAAGGUCGGUUUGUAGGAAGCUCUUUGGUGUCUCUUGGCUUUCGAUCAGAUUUUCGCACGUCGGUCAAUAAACAAUCUUUAGGUUUUGUGGUCGUGCUGCAUUGUGAAUCGAUCGAUUCUUGAGGUGUUGGUGCUUGAGUGCAGUGUAUGUGGUGCAGUGCGGAGGUGUUAGUGUACGCAAUGUAUCAGUGAAGGCGACUGCGGUGACCCACGGGAUCCGUAGCUGGGGGUGUCAUGCUGGAGACGCGGUCAGCGCGCGCCGCAGAUUCGGUGUGGGCGAACAAGCCGCUGCCGGCGCCUCACGCCAUGGCCAACACGAGGCACGGAAAAAACGCCCAGGAUGACGUAUGCUACGUGGUUGCUAAGUACGACUAUGCAGCACAGGGGGCACAAGAGUUGGACCUCCGUAAAAACGAGCGGUAUCUACUGUUGGACGACUCCAAGCACUGGUGGCGGGUACAGAACGCUCGCAGCCAGUCAGGCUACGUGCCUAGUAAUUAUGUCAAGAAGGAGAAGCCUUCGCUGUUUGACAGUAUUAAGAAGAAGGUGAAGAAGGGCUCGGGCUCGAAGACGCUGCCGUCGAACAGCUCCCCGGUGCGCGGCGGCGGCGGCGGCGAGGCGGGCGGCGCGCGCCGCGUGGAGCCGGCCGAGGCGCUGGGCACGGCCGUGGUCAAGUACAACUACCAGGCGCAGCAGCCCGACGAGCUCGCGCUCACCAAGGGCACGCGCAUACUCAUCCUGGAGAAGAGCAACGACGGCUGGUGGCGGGGGCAGUACCAGGGACACACCGGCUGGUUUCCUUCGAACUACACCAGUGAAGAAGGCGACAAUGAGGACCCGGUGCAUACAUACGCUAUGGCGGAAAACGUCCUGGACAUUGUGUCGUCACAGGUGGCGCUGUACUCGUUCACGUCCAACAACGAGCAGGAGCUGUCGUUCGAGAAGGGAGACCGCCUCGAGAUCAUCGAGCGGCCGCCCUCCGACCCCGAGUGGUACCGCGCCCGGGACUCGCGCGGACACGUGGGGCUCGUGCCCAGGAACUACCUGCAGGAGCUCGCCGACUACCUCACGCAGCCCUACAGCGAGGGCGGCGCCGUGCGCGGCGCGGGCGGCGCGGCGGGGCGCGCGUGGUACUACGGGGCCAUCACGCGCACGCACUGCGACGCGCUGCUCAACCAGCACGGACACGACGGGGACUUCCUCAUCCGCGACUCCGAGACCAACGUGCGUACUCCCCUCACACUCACUGUACUGCUGCACUAUACUCACUGUAGCCCACACAACACUAACGCUCGUGCGCGCGUGGUACUACGGGGCCAUCACGCGCACGCACUGCGACGCGCUGCUCAACCAGCACGGACACGACGGGGACUUCCUCAUCCGCGACUCCGAGACCAACGUGCGUACUCCCCUCACACUCACUGUACUGCUGCACUAUACUCACUGUAGCCCACACAACACUAACGCUCGUGCGCGCGUGGUACUACGGGGCCAUCACGCGCACGCACUGCGACGCGCUGCUCAACCAGCACGGACACGACGGGGACUUCCUCAUCCGCGACUCCGAGACCAACGUGCGUACUCCCCUCACACUCACUGUACUGCUGCACUAUACUCACUGUAGCCCACACAACACUAACGCUCGUGCGCGCGUGGUACUACGGGGCCAUCACGCGCACGCACUGCGACGCGCUGCUCAACCAGCACGGACACGACGGGGACUUCCUCAUCCGCGACUCCGAGACCAACGUGCGUACUCCCCUCACACUCACUGUACUGCUGCACUAUACUCACUGUAGCCCACACAACACUAACGCUCGUGCGCGCGUGGUACUACGGGGCCAUCACGCGCACGCACUGCGACGCGCUGCUCAACCAGCACGGACACGACGGGGACUUCCUCAUCCGCGACUCCGAGACCAACGUGCGUACUCCCCUCACACUCACUGUACUGCUGCACUAUACUCACUGUAGCCCACACAACACUAACGCUCGUGCGCGCGUGGUACUACGGGGCCAUCACGCGCACGCACUGCGACGCGCUGCUCAACCAGCACGGACACGACGGGGACUUCCUCAUCCGCGACUCCGAGACCAACGUGCGUACUCCCCUCACACUCACUGUACUGCUGCACUAUACUCACUGUAGCCCACAGAACACUAACGCUCGUGCGCGCGUGGUACUACGGGGCCAUCACGCGCACGCACUGCGACGCGCUGCUCAACCAGCACGGACACGACGGGGACUUCCUCAUCCGCGACUCCGAGACCAACGUGCGUACUCCCCUCACACUCACUGUACUGCUGCACUAUACUCACUGUAGCCCACACAACACUAACGCUCGUGCGCGCGUGGUACUACGGGGCCAUCACGCGCACGCACUGCGACGCGCUGCUCAACCAGCACGGACACGACGGGGACUUCCUCAUCCGCGACUCCGAGACCAACGUGCGUACUCCCCUCACACUCACUGUACUGCUGCACUAUACUCACUGUAGCCCACAGAACACUAACGCUCGUGCGCGCGUGGUACUACGGGGCCAUCACGCGCACGCACUGCGACGCGCUGCUCAACCAGCACGGACACGACGGGGACUUCCUCAUCCGCGACUCCGAGACCAACGUGCGUACUCCCCUCACACUCACUGUACUGCUGCACUAUACUCACUGUAGCCCACACAACACUAACGCUCGUGCGCGCGUGGUACUACGGGGCCAUCACGCGCACGCACUGCGACGCGCUGCUCAACCAGCACGGACACGACGGGGACUUCCUCAUCCGCGACUCCGAGACCAACGUGCGUACUCCCCUCACACUCACUGUACUGCUGCACUAUACUCACUGUAGCCCACACAACACUAACGCUCGUGCGCGCGUGGUACUACGGGGCCAUCACGCGCACGCACUGCGACGCGCUGCUCAACCAGCACGGACACGACGGGGACUUCCUCAUCCGCGACUCCGAGACCAACGUGCGUACUCCCCUCACACUCACUGUACUGCUGCACUAUACUCACUGUAGCCCACACAACACUAACGCUCGUGCGCGCGUGGUACUACGGGGCCAUCACGCGCACGCACUGCGACGCGCUGCUCAACCAGCACGGACACGACGGGGACUUCCUCAUCCGCGACUCCGAGACCAACGUGCGUACUCCCCUCACACUCACUGUACUGCUGCACUAUACUCACUGUAGCCCACACAACACUAACGCUCGUGCGCGCGUGGUACUACGGGGCCAUCACGCGCACGCACUGCGACGCGCUGCUCAACCAGCACGGACACGACGGGGACUUCCUCAUCCGCGACUCCGAGACCAACGUGCGUACUCCCCUCACACUCACUGUACUGCUGCACUAUACUCACUGUAGCCCACACAACACUAACGCUCGUGCGCGCGUGGUACUACGGGGCCAUCACGCGCACGCACUGCGACGCGCUGCUCAACCAGCACGGACACGACGGGGACUUCCUCAUCCGCGACUCCGAGACCAACGUGCGUACUCCCCUCACACUCACUGUACUGCUGCACUAUACUCACUGUAGCCCACACAACACUAACGCUCGUGCGCGCGUGGUACUACGGGGCCAUCACGCGCACGCACUGCGACGCGCUGCUCAACCAGCACGGACACGACGGGGACUUCCUCAUCCGCGACUCCGAGACCAACGUGCGUACUCCCCUCACACUCACUGUACUGCUGCACUAUACUCACUGUAGCCCACACAACACUAACGCUCGUGCGCGCGUGGUACUACGGGGCCAUCACGCGCACGCACUGCGACGCGCUGCUCAACCAGCACGGACACGACGGGGACUUCCUCAUCCGCGACUCCGAGACCAACGUGCGUACUCCCCUCACACUCACUGUACUGCUGCACUAUACUCACUGUAGCCCACACAACAUUAACGCUCGUGCGCGCGUGGUACUACGGGGCCAUCACGCGCACGCACUGCGACGCGCUGCUCAACCAGCACGGACACGACGGGGACUUCCUCAUCCGCGACUCCGAGACCAACGUGCGUACUCCCCUCACACUCACUGUACUGCUGCACUAUACUCACUGUAGCCCACACAACACUAACGCUCGUGCGCGCGUGGUACUACGGGGCCAUCACGCGCACGCACUGCGACGCGCUGCUCAACCAGCACGGACACGACGGGGACUUCCUCAUCCGCGACUCCGAGACCAACGUGCGUACUCCCCUCACACUCACUGUACUGCUGCACUAUACUCACUGUAGCCCACACAACACUAACGCUCGUGCGCGCGUGGUACUACGGGGCCAUCACGCGCACGCACUGCGACGCGCUGCUCAACCAGCACGGACACGACGGGGACUUCCUCAUCCGCGACUCCGAGACCAACGUGCGUACUCCCCUCACACUCACUGUACUGCUGCACUAUACUCACUGUAGCCCACACAACACUAACGCUCGUGCGCGCGUGGUACUACGGGGCCAUCACGCGCACGCACUGCGACGCGCUGCUCAACCAGCACGGACACGACGGGGACUUCCUCAUCCGCGACUCCGAGACCAACGUGCGUACUCCCCUCACACUCACUGUACUGCUGCACUAUACUCACUGUAGCCCACACAACACUAACGCUCGUGCGCGCGUGGUACUACGGGGCCAUCACGCGCACGCACUGCGACGCGCUGCUCAACCAGCACGGACACGACGGGGACUUCCUCAUCCGCGACUCCGAGACCAACGUGGGCGACUUCUCGGUGUCGCUGAAGGCGCCGGGCCGCAACAAGCACUUCCGCGUGCACGUGGAGGGCAGCCUGUACUGCAUCGGCCAGCGCAAGUUCCCGGCGCUGGAGCAGCUGGUGGCGCACUACCAGCGCGCGCCCAUCUACACCAACAAGCAGGGCGAGAAGCUCUACCUCGUGCGCCCGCUGCCGCGCAGCGACCAGCUCUGCUGAGCCGCCCGGACAACGGACGCGGGAAUUACGGGCUCUGACGACUCAUGUCGACGAACCAGAAAUAUCGUUAGAAAAAACUAAAUCCAAUAGGAUACCGUAAUUUCUCGAUUGUCGUAACGAAUCAGGCUGAGCGAGCACCGCAGCGAGCGAACUGCCGGCGUAGUGUAGCAAGGCGCGCGAACGACGCCUAAAUGUAAUUACAACAUUAACAAAACCAAAAAUUGGCUUCAUUAUCUCUAUUAGUGUAUAACAUUUUAUAUCAUAUUAUUUUAGGUAAGUUGGAUAGUGUAAUUUUUAUAAUGGGUUAAUUAAACAGUGUUUUAUGCAUAUAAUAAUAGAUAAUUCGUCAUUGUAUCGCGCAUAGUGGACGUUUCUAUGUGCUGGUAUGUACACUGAAUGCAUAUGUUGUGAUGUUUGGCUAAGUAAGAUAUAAUGUAAGUCAUGAUCAGGGGAUAUCGUGGAAUGUCUGAGCCGCUGCUGUGAGCCGGAGUUAAUGUUUAGAGUACUGUCGCGCUUGAUCUAACCAACUCGGUUGCUAUUGACAUUCUUUGGUUUAAAAAUCUUAUCGUAGUUGACAAUUUCUAAUAAGAUUUUUGCGUAUAAAAGUUAUCGAUUUUCCGGGAGUAAUUUUAACAAUUUUGCCUGAAAAUUAGGCAACUAUGCCUCGAAUAUUUCUACUAUCAUUAUUCGCCUUCCAAAUUUCGAGCUAACAAAUGCUCAAAAUUAAAAUAAAAAAAAGUAUUAAUUAAAGUAUUAGUUGAACAUUCCGUUUUUUAUAUCUUUAUUCUUUCAAUUAUUUUAUGUAUAAUUAAAAAAAACUUGACAUCUAGGCGAAAUCAAACUCCCGCACUGUAAUCUAAUCUGUCAAACUAUUUCCUUGAUUAUUCUUGAAUUACUGUUUGAAUCAAUGCGUCAAUUAAAUAGGUUACUUCAAUCACCAAAUAAGUGUUAAUCGCAACCGUGUUGACAUAAACGCGCGAGAACCGUGGUUUAUCUCAUAAGGCGCGGUGGCACCAACCGUAUAAGUCUGAAUAGUGGAAUCGCGUAGUCAAAUAUUCAAUGAUAACCGUUAUUCCUACGUUUUAGUCUUAACAACGAAUUAGUUAACGAUUGAUUGGUACUUCGCCAGUUUAAACAUACACUAUCGAGUGACGUUAUCAAUCUAUUUAGAUGGUAUUUGUAUAUGAGCAGGUCACAUUCGUUUAAGAAAAUAUUGAGUGAUUUUUGUCACGCGCACUGUCCGCUAAUGGUGAUAUUAUGUCCCGUGUGAAGGGAGCGAGCUUAUUGCUAGUUAGUGGGCGAUACUAAUCUCGGAACUGCUGAUGUAUCAACUGUACUAUAACACUCGACAGCACUCACGGAUGGUGUAGUUUCAACUGGAGUCGUGGGCACGGAAUCUCAAAGGGUAGAUUUCCACUGACGUGACAAUCGCUAGUCAAUAUUGUACGUCGACAUCACAAUUAAUUCUCACUUUACAUAACUGUUCUCAGAUUUACUUUGGUAUGUUAUAGCGCGAAAUGUUUGGGUGUGUUCGUCUAUGAGAUUCUAAAGCUAGUUAUUUAUUUUUACUCACAAGUCACAAAUAAACUCUUGAACGCAUACAAUUAUACAGAGUAUGUGAGGUAGAAAGUUAUCAACUAUGAAAUAGGUAUUCUAGAAAUAUCGCGUAGUAUUAUUAUUGGUGAUCAGGUAUUAUAACGUUGUGUCUUAUGUGAUUCGAAUUAUAAUUUAAGUGGAACGUACGGUUGUUAGACAAGUAUUAAUACGACACCCAAACAGUUCGGUCGCUUUCCGCAAUCGUUCCUCGUGAACCAAGUGUAUUCAAUAACAAAGGCAGCUUGUUUGUUGUUUUACACGUAUUAUUGUUUUAUAAUAUAUUCGUUUUGUAGAUAACAAUAUAUAAAUUUAAAUGCGAAUCACGUUCAACGAUUAUUUUUAAGUUAAACAUUGACAUUUUCAUUCUUAUCAUAGCCAAUAACGUGAUGUAUUUGUCCAGGAACAUUUGGUAAACUCCACACGGCAAGUUUAAGUGAAUAGCUUUUAAACAGGAACAUUUAUUUUUGUAUGGACUUUUUAUUUUACACAUUGACAGUUGAUGAUGCACCAAGUGUAGACAUUUUUGUAUGCAAACUUAGCGUUAAGAUUAGGAUACAUAUAACGAUCAUGUACGAUAGAUGAUCGAGGGUGUUUUCCUCGGGCCGCUACGUCAGCGCGUGUGUGAACAAUUAUUUGCAUUUAUAUUAUGUAUAGUACCCUUCUGUAUGAUGUGUAUAUGACUCCACUAAUUUGAGAUUAACUCUAAACCGUUUGUUUGGAUUGCUUUCAUCAAAAUGUAAUUAAUCUGUCGUAUCAUAUAAAAUAUCGGGUCUCAGUUGCGUUUUGCUAAAUUAAAGCUUAUUGCUGUGUAACCCUCGAGAGUUCGACUGUAAGUAUAUGCUUUAAUUAUGUUUCAAUUAGGUAAAAUAUUCUUAGAUAAUUUGAAUGGAAAACAUCCUUGAAACGCCGAUGUCACCGAGACAUCGAUGACGCACUAAAUUAAUUACAUGUGAUACUUUUGAGAUAUAACUUACGUCUGCAUUAUAGUAAAUUUAAUAGUAAUUAGAUGAAAGACACGGUUUACAGUCGGGGUGAGGUAAUCGAGCAGGAUAUUGGAUAGAUUCUCAAAAAAGUGUUUUGUGCUGCUAACUUAUUUAAUGUUUUAAAUAAUAAACGGCCAGGAUUGAUUAUGCUCAUAUUGAACUAAAUAUUUGGAAGGAGCAGCCUAUCCUUCAAUAAGUUCAGAAGGUUAUGAUUGAAGCAAGAAUGAAUAUCGCUACGCUGAUGAGUUUGUUAAUUAUCAAGUGCGACCUAAGUCAUAUCUCAAAACUCAGUGAUCGUAAGUUACUAGAUCUUUUUGAUGUAUUUAAUACGUUUUAUACUCAAUAAUGUAAUUAGAAUUAAAAUGCGAGGCAAACUCAGUGUAGAGAUUUAUUAGGAAAAAGAAAUAGCAAAAUGUACCGCUGCUGCAGGUCUUGAGCAUUUUUUUUACAUGAAAACAAUGAAUCUGUAUUUAGAUACGCGUCACUUAAACAAAAAUGUACCCAAAUACAUGGUGUAUAGUGAACUAUGAGCUUAUACGAUGUAGAAAAUGUAUGAUAUGACCUCAUUGACUAUAGAAAUAAUUGAUACUACAAAUUGAUCUCGAACUCGCGUAUUCUAAGUUCAAAGUACACCACGUAUAAUAAAGUCUUCCUACAAUGUCGAAGCAUUUGAACUCGCAUCUAUUGAAUGCAAGCACAAAGCCAGUAGCGACAAAUGCACGAGGUAGGGAAUCAUUGAGAUGGACAUAUUGAAUUGACGUGCACAGGGAACACGGCCGGCCGUCGUGGUAUCUAAAUUAUAUAAUACCACAAUUGACGAGAGGAACGGCUAAUAGAUUGCGAAUGGAAAAACUAGUGCACUAAUAUUAACAAGCUUUAUUAAAUAAACAUUGCCAAACUUAGAAAGGAAUUAAAGCAGACUUUACAUUCCUAAAGCUUUUUAUAAUAACACUUGCGAUGAAUAGCUUAAAACGUAAGUAUUGGGUACUAAAGUACCACACAACCAGUUUUUCAAAAAUCGACUAAACUACAUAACUGUAUCAAACGUUUUUAUUAGUAUAACUAGGUAUAGAUAUAGAGUGAUUCGGUUUUUUAUUUUUAUAUUGCUCAAAGUAUAUUAUUUUAUAAUUUGUAUUUGUGAAUUGUGUUUGUUUGUACGUUUUCGUGAAUGUAUAUUAUCCGAUGUAACGAGCCAAUAUAAGUGCAGUAUGUAAUAUUUAACAAUAAUUUAUUUAUUAAUUUGC